UCUCUCUUGUUCCGAGGUCACCGUGGCCACCAGAUCCAGUACAUAUCCAGACCAGAUGGUGGAUCAGCACCUAGAAAAGGACCUCUACAUCCCUGAAAGACAGCGGAGACCAGGACAACUAGAGCCCCAGAUACAGAUCCCCUGUAAAUACCUUGUCUCAGAGGACCAUCAGGACAAGACCACAGGAAACAGAUGAUUCUUCUGCACAAUCUGACUUUGCUGCAGCCUGGAAUUUAACUACUGGUUUCGUCUGGUCAGAGGAGAACUGGCCCCCCAACUGAGCCUGGUUUCUCCCAAGGUUUUUUUCUCCAUUCUGUCACCGAUGGAGUUUCGGUUCCUUGCCGCUGUCGCCUCUGGCUUGCUUAGUUGGGGUCACUUCAUCUACAGCGAUAUCAUUGACUUGAUUGCAAAUAAAAACAGACACUAUUUUCAACUGAA